UCCGUGUGUUUUUCAAAAACCGCGCGCAUUUUUCAGUCAGUCACGUCACGUGCACUCCGCUCAUCCACACUGGACCGCACUCACUCACUCGCUGAUGGGAUCACAGCAGGAUUAACGUUAUUCGCGAGACACGACGCGGUCAUGGUAAAAAAUACAGUGCAAAGGCAGAGAGUGAAGGUGUGGUGGUAUUGGCAGCAAGAAGGCUGCAAUAAUAUGGGCCUGAAAUGAAGUACCGGAACAUUAUCAGUCAUUCAAGCUAUGAUAUCCUGGCAGAUCUACUUCCUGAAAAGAAGACUCAGCAGAUCUUUUCAAGACACACUAGAUGGAGCGCGGAGAGACCGGACAGUUUCCACAGAAUAAUUUCCUAUAGCAUGCCAAUACCAGCGCACAAGCACAAAGCUAAAGACAAAUUAUAGCAAAAAAAUUUGAUUUAAUAUUUGACUACAGGGGACUUACAUUUUUUUUUUACAGUCUGUUCAAUGUGUUGAAAGGGAAAGUGAUUAUCUUUAAUAAUUCAGAUACCUGUUGAAAUGCACAUGUAAUUGAAUGCUUGCUUGGAUCUGGAAUGUUGUGUUAAUAAAUGUUAUGCUGAAAGAGAAUGUUGCAACAGUGCUAACCUGAAAAUAAAAUUUUAUUAAGC